CUACGGGUUGCUGCAGUGAGGAAUAUUGCACAAUGGGGGGAACCCUGAUGCAGCAACGCCGCGUGGAGGAUGACGCAUUUCGGUGUGUAAACUCCUUUUAUAUGUCAAGAAAAUGACGGUAGCAUAUGAAUAAGCACCGGCUAACUCCGUGCCAGCAGCCGCGGUAAUACGGAGGGUGCAAGCGUUACUCGGAAUCACUGGGCGGAAAGGACGCGUAGGCGGGUUGGAAAGUCAGGUGUGAAAUCCUACAGCUUAACUGUAGAACUGCACUUGAAACUUCUAAUCUAGAGUAUGGGAGGGGGAGAUGGAAUUAGCGGUGUAGGGGUAAAAUCCGUAGAUAUCACUAGGAAUACCUAAAGCGAAGGCGAUCUCCUGGAACAUUACUGACGCUAAGGCGUGAAAGCGUGGGGAGCAAACAGGAUUAGAUACCCGUGUAGUC
rnacentral:rRNA from 1 species